rfam:Arthrobacter sp. Soil763 contig_4, whole genome shotgun sequence.
CGCGGUCCUCGGUAGUGACCUCCGGGAGCGGCUUCAAUGAACUGAAGCCCCAGCCCGUGGGUCUCGAUCGAUGACCGGG